CUCUCUUUUGUUCUCUCUGAAAUCAAUAAAAAACGUAUUUUAAUACUGAGCAUCUUUUCAUGUGCUUAUUUGCAAUUCAUGUGUCUGUUUGAUAAAAUGUGUUCAAAUGUUUUUCCCUACAAGUUGUCACCUUAGUGAAUUAUUUUGCAAAUAUUUUUCCCAGGCUAAUAUGGUUUGCCUUGUCAUUUCUUCAUAGUGUCUUUGAAGAAAAGUUUAAUUAAUGAAAUUCAAUUUAUCAAUUUUUUUCUGUUUAAGUUUCAUGUAUUUUUAUGUGGUCUCCACAAGAUUUUUUCCUGACCCCAGAACAUAAAGUUUUUUCUCCUACAUUUUCCCCCAGAAUUUUUAUAGUUUAGGUUUUACAUUCAGAUCCAAAAUACAUUUCAAAUUAAUUUAUGUGUAUUGUGAGGUAAGGGUGGAAGUUCAUGUUUUGCAUAUGGAUAUCCAAUUGUUCAACAUUAUUUGUUGAAAACACUAUCCUUUCCUCACCGAAUUAUUUGGGUUCUAUGUGUUCUAGUCCACUGAUUUAUAUUCCUAUUCUUACACCAGCACGUCUUGAACACUGCAGCUUUCCACUAGAACUCUGACGUCAGGUAGUGUAAUUCCUCCGACAUUAGACUUCUUUUCAGAUUGUUUUGACUAUAUUAGGUCAUUUGCAUUUCCAUAUAACUUUUAGAAUCGUCUUGUCAAUUUCUAUAAGACUGACUUCUGGAUUUUUAUUGGUAUUGCAUUCCAUAUAUAUACCAUUUUGGGGAAAACCAGUCUCAACAAUAAUGAUCAAAGAGCAUCAUACAGUUCUCAAAUUUUUUAAGACUUUUAUUAAUUUCUCUUAAUGUUUCAGUUUUCAUCAUGCAAGUCUUUCAUAUAUUUCAUUCAAUUUAUCCCUAAGUAUUUAAUAUGUUAUUACAAAAGUUUUAUAAAUUUCAAUCUCCAACUGUUUGUUGCUGAUGUAUAAAAAUGCAAUUAAUUUUAUACAUUGACCUUGUAACCUAUACUCUUAAGUUCUACCAGCUUUUUGUAGAUUGCUUAGGAUUUCCUACAUGAGAUCUUCUGCAAAAGAAGACUCUUUGAUAUUAUCUCACAUAUCUAUUACUGUGUUUAGUAUUUGUUUUUUCCCCAUGCCUCAUUUUGAAUAGUUUGUAUUGUCAUACCGUCAAGGUUGCUGAUCUUUUCUUCUGAAGUGUCACUUUGGAUACCGUAUUUUUUAUCUCCAAAAAAAAGAUUGCUGGCCUGGUGAGGAUUAUCACCUUCAUACUCUGCCCUAUCCCAGUAUUCUUCCCAUCUGCUGGGCCACUCUACUUAUUAACGCAUCUACUUUAUGAACUUUAAAACUUUACCCAUUACAAGUAUUUCUUUUAGUCCUAAUGUGUUUUUUUAAUAAACAAAACAUAUAAGUAUGUGAUUUUAACA